rnacentral:rRNA from 1 species
UGGGGAAUAUUGCACAAUGGGCGCAAGCCUGAUGCAGCCAUGCCGCGUGUAUGAAGAAGGCCUUCGGGUUGUAAAGUACUUUCAGCGGGGAGGAAGGCGAUAAGGUUAAUAACCUUGUCGAUUGACGUUACCCGCAGAAGAAGCACCGGCUAACUCCGUGCCAGCAGCCGCGGUAAUACGGAGGGUGCAAGCGUUAAUCGGAAUUACUGGGCGUAAAGCGCACGCAGGCGGUCUGUCAAGUCGGAUGUGAAAUCCCCGGGCCCAACCUGGGAACUGCAUUCGAAACUGGCAGGCUAGAGUCUUGUAGAGGGGGGUAGAAUUCCAGGUGUAGCGGUGAAAUGCGUAGAGAUCUGGAGGAAUACCGGUGGCGAAGGCGGCCCCCUGGACAAAGACUGACGCUCAGGUGCGAAAGCGUGGGGAGCAAACA